CAGUGGCGUAGCCAGGGUUGAGACGAUGUGGAUGCGAAAUUGUCGGCGAGCGGAGCGAGGCGAAAAAAUUUUGGGACCAUAUUAUGCAGAAUUUUUUUUUUUUUUUUUUACAUUUUCCCAUUUAUGCAUGAGUAUUCCCCUAGAAACCGACACUAGUUAGAUUUUUGUUUAAUUUCAAAAUACCAACCAAUAUAUAUUCAUUUUCCAACAAAAUUUUAU
rnacentral:lncRNA from 1 species